UACGUAGCGGGCAAGCGUUGUCCGGAUUUAUUGGGCGUAAAGAGCGUGUAGGCGGUUUGGUAGGUCCGCUGUGAAAACUCGAGGCUCAACCUCGAGACGCCGGUGGAAACCAUCAGGCUAGAGUCCGGAAGAGGAGAGUGGAAUUCCUGGUGUAGCGGUGAAAUGCGCAGAUAUCAGGAAGAACACCCGUGGCUAAGGCGGCUCUCUAGUACGGUACUGACGCUGAGACGCGAAAGCGUGGGGAGCGAACAGG
rnacentral:rRNA from 1 species